rnacentral:lncRNA from 1 species
AUGCUCUUCCUCCUGAUCAGCUCGAUGGGAGCGGGGCGCGCGCCUGCAGGCGGCCAGGUGAGCGGGGGACCGAGAGAGCCGCCCUCAAACUUUGCCUCGACGCAAAUCUCUCGUUUCGCCCCGGCUGGAACGACGGGGCUGCGGCGCACGGACGGAAAAGACGCGGCACGCAGUUUGCAUCGUCGCGCCUGGAAUGACAGCGCGCCUUCUCCUACAUUGUUGGAAAAAAGAAAGAGUCGGCGUGGAGGAUGCUCGGCUCUCUGGAGCACGGAGGAGACAAGGAGACAGGUCACCGCUGGCGGGGGGUCCUCAUCGUCGCGUCUCGGGAGGCGCGGAGGGAGUACAGUUCAGGAGGCAGCUCCCUCCUGGAUAACGGCAUCACAUCAAAUACACUUAAAACUACAACCGCUCCAGUCACAAGCACAGGGCCUUAGAAAUCGAGGCGACAGGAAGUCUGUGGUGACGGUUCAGCACUAUUUCAGUCCCUCGCUCCGUUCGUUACACAACGUAUACAAUCAGGCAGAGACACAUGGGACGCUGUCACCGCCGUCACCGGCUCGGCUGAGGAGCAAACGAGGAACAGCUGCGCCGCGAGUCGGCCGACGACGGGCGCAGUCGGGUGGAUCUGCCGCGGACAGGUGUGGAGCGACGCGACGGGCCCCAGAUGCAGCGAGAAAAAGAGGGGCCGACGGAGGACUGACACUCGUCUAUGUAACACAGCGGCACUUGAAAAUGAUACAGUAGAGGAGGCCCACCCGCUUGUUAUCAGCCAUAACGAAUGGGCUGAUCAGAACUUAUCAGCCCAUUCGUACGGGCCAGUAGGUGCCUGCUCUGCCUACUCGCUAACAGCUAGCAGCUAGCUAAGUUGCUACGUUCAGCAGCUUUAGAGGUUAUUGUGGUUAGGGUUAGGGCUGGAUAACGAGUGGGGGGUUCAGGUUACGGUUAGCUAACACAAUACCGCUAGCUAUUUGCAAAGUUAUGCUCGCUAAUAAAUCAAAAUCACAAACUUCGAUCCUCCCGUCU